AAGCCGGGAAAAUUGAAUUUUUUAGCGUAAGAUGACGGAAAGUAUUAAAAUUAGAUAGGAGCUGCACCGGCAUGACUGGAAAUAGCCUCACGAGAGCGUUCCAAAGAUGGCUGACAGAGCACUGACUUGCUAGAAGACUUUGCCCGUGCUCAUCUGCAGAGCUAGAGGAUUGGCAGACGGCCAAAUCCAUUUAUGACUUCACUGUCCAUGGAUAUCGAUGGCAGUGAAGUUUCCCUGGAUAAGUGCAGGGGAAAAGUUGUCAUCAUCACCAGCGUUGCCUCAAAAUGAGGCAAAACUCCAGUAAACUACUCUCAGUUUGCAGAAAUGCACGGCAAGUACGCUGAGAAAGGUUUACGCAUCCUGGCCUUCCCAUCCAACCAGUUUGGCCGUCAGGUGGUGGAGAAGGAUCUUUCCAAAUAUCUCUAAAUAGCAUCAUUAUGUGACUGUGAAAUUACCCCAAGCUGCCCCACUGCCCAUCUUCAUUCUCUCCUAAUGACAGCUGGGUAUCAGUGAUGUCGUCUCAUGGACUAAUGAUGGUUUGUUUUGAAAACCUCCUUGAGGAAAAAUCAGACCUGAUGCAUUUGGCGUGCAACCCCUCCUGGGAGCAUUAUCAGUGCCCAGCCAUCAGUCUAGAGAGAGACCCCUGCCUCUGGAUCUUCCCCUACGCUUUUACAUGAAAAUAUGGACACUUAUUUAGAAGCUAAACUUGUAGUCAUAGUGUAACAGUUAUA